rnacentral:rRNA from 1 species
UACGGGGGGGGCAAGCGUUGUUCGGAAUUACUGGGCGUAAAGGGCUCGUAGGUGGCCAACUAAGUCAGACGUGAAAUCCCUCAGCUUAACUGGGGAACUGCGUCUGAUACUGGAUGGCUUGAGAUUGGGAGAGGGAUGCGGAAUUCCAGGUGUAGCGGUGAAAUGCGUAGAUAUCGAUCGGAACACCCAUGGCGAAGGCAGCUCGCUGGCCUGCAACUGACGCUGAGGCGCGAAAGCGCGGGGAGCAAACAGG